rnacentral:rRNA from 1 species
AACGCGAAGAACCUUACCUAAGCUUGACAUCCCACUGACCCUUCCCUAAUCGGAAGUUUCCCUUCGGGGACAGUGGUGACAGGUGGUGCAUGGUUGUCGUCAGCUCGUGUCGUGAGAUGUUGGGUUAAGUCCCGCAACGAGCGCAACCCUUGCCUUUAGUUGCCAUCAUUAAGUUGGGCACUCUAGAGAGACUGCCGAGGAUAACUCGGAGGAAGGUGGGGAUGACGUCAAAUCAUCAUGCCCCUUAUGCUUAGGGCUACACACGUGCUACAAUGGGUGGUACAGAGGGUUGCCAAGCCGUGAGGCGGAGCUAAUCCCUUAAAGCCAUGCUCAGUUCGGAUUGUAGGCUGAAACUCGCCUACAUGAAGCUGGAGUUACUAGUAAUCGCAGAUCAGAAUGCUGCGGUGAAUGCGUUCCCGGGUCUUGUACACACCG